UGGCAUCCUUGUUUAGGUGUUGUUUAGG
rnacentral:piRNA from 1 species